ensembl:lncRNA
CUCAUAUAAUUCUUAAUUUAGUUAUGCAUCUUUUCCUAUAAAUUCUGUAACAUACUCAUAAUAGUUAUUCCCUGUCUUAAAUUGAGGGGCAUUCCGCAACAUGCUGGAUUGUGCUCUUUAAAAUCAAGACCAUGGAAAGAAUUGGGAACUGUCUCAGGUCGGAGAGAACUAAGGAGCAUAACAACUAGACCCAAGGCGUGAUCCCGCCCUCCGUUUCCAGUCUCUGUUGUCCACAAGCCCGGCCUCAGAUGGGAACCUACUUACCAGCCCCACCACGCCCCACAACUCGGGCCAGGAGAGCCAUCGACUCUACCUGAUUUUCCGCCCCCAAGAGAGUCACUUCCAACAAGAUCACGGGGCGGGGUCACUUCACCCACUGCUCUGAAUCCAGUGAAUUAAUAAGAAUAGCUUAACAGUAAAGAGAGUAAUUUACCAAGAAAACAUAGCUAUUAUAAAUUUCAUGGGCUUGCAAACUACUAUAAACUCUCUGGGAAAUGAUGUGUUAUUAUAUCAAAAGCCAUACCUUAAAAUAACUUUUAAAUCAUGAAAUUUCAUUUCUUGGAAAGUAUCCUAAAGAAAUAGUUGUACGGGGCUUCCCUGGCGGCUCAGUGGUUAAAAAUCCACCUGCCGAAGCAGACGACGUAGGUUCGAUCCUGAAUCUGGGAAAAUCCCACAUGCCUCGGAGCAAUUGAGCUCCAUGGGCCACAGCAAUCGGUCCUGCGCUUUAGAGCCCGGGAACCGCAACCCCUGAGCCCGCACGCCACAGCUGGUGAAGCCCGCACGCCCUAGAGCCUGUGCAACAAAAGACGCCGUUGCCAUGGAAACCGCACACCCAGCUGGGGAGCAGCCCCGGCUCUCCGUAAUCAGAGAAAGGCCUAUGCAGCCACGAAGACCCAGAACAGUCAAAAAUAAAGAUAAACAAAUAAAUCUACAAAAAUAAUUGUGCAGGGGGCCGCCACAUUGUGUCAGGAUGACUCCUGCCCAGGCAGUUCACAGAGCUGAUUUCUCAAGGAUCACUGGACAAAAUAGAUCUGACCCACCAGUCCAGAGCAGUCACCACUAACUCUAAUUUUCUCUCUCAGAUGGGGAAAUUGAGGAGCAAAGUUACAAACUUAAGAAUCAAAGCAGGAUUUAGACCUGGAUAAUCUGGCUUCUUCAUUGAAAUGUUUAACUUCCAAAAGACAAAGAUGAAGUCCAUCUGCUCCAUCUCAUCUGUUACUCCCUGUGGAUCAGAACCUCUUAACCCAGAAUGUCCUCAGGGCAGAGCGUGACUCAGUUUUCCUAUGCAGGAGCAGACAAAAGGGGUGGAGCUCCCUACCCCACCUCCUCACAGACGACUGAGCAAAAAUGGAGCAGGGCUUCACUCCAAAAUCUUGUGGAUUCAGUUCUCUCUGGGGAUAACUUUGAACUUGGGGCUAGCACAAGGCAACAUCUGAAAUUCUCAGCACCCACCUCAGACAUGCUCCAGUCCAGCGAAUCUAUAGUUUUUUGUGUGUUGAUUACAUGUUGAAAGAGUAAUGUUUUAGAUGUACUAAAUUAAAUGAAAUAUACCCAU